rnacentral:rRNA from 1 species
CCUACGGGCGGCAGCAGUGAGGAAUAUUGGUCAAUGGACGAGAGUCUGAACCAGCCAAGUAGCGUGAAGGAUGACUGCCCUAUGGGUUGUAAACUUCUUUUAUACAGGAAUAAAACGCGGCACGUGUGCCUUUUUGUAUGUACUUUAUGAAUAAGGAUCGGCUAACUCCGUGCCAGCAGCCGCGGUAAUACGGAGGAUCCGAGCGUUAUCCGGAUUUAUUGGGUUUAAAGGGAGCGUAGAUGGGUUGUUAAGUCAGUUGUGAAAGUUUGCGGCUCAACCGUAAAAUUGCAAUUGAUACUGGCAGUCUUGAGUACAGUUGAGGUAGGCGGAAUUCGUGGUGUAGCGGUGAAAUGCUUAGAUAUCACGAAGAACCCCGAUUGCGAAGGCAGCUUACUAAACUGUGACUGACACUGAUGCUCGAAGGUGUGGGUAUCAAACAGGAUUAGAUACCCCAGUAGUC